UUUUUUUGGAGAGUUUGAUCCUGGCUCAGGACGAACGCUGGCGGCGUGCCUAACACAUGCAAGUCGAACGGAGAAUUUC
rnacentral:rRNA from 1 species